GAAACUAGGAUUAGAUACCCUAUUAUAUUAAAGUUAAAUUUAUAAAUAUUGAAUUACUAAUAGGUAUUUCUUGAAAUUUAAAGAAUUUGGCGGUAAUUUAGUCUUGUUAGAGGAACUUGUUUUUUAAUCGAUACUCCGCGUUAUAUCUUACUUAUUUUAAAAGGUUUGUAUACCAUCAUUAUUAGAUAAUUUUAAGAGAAAAAAUUAUUAAAAUUAAAUAUGUUAAAAAAAUUAGAUCAAGGUGCAGCUAAUAAAUAAGUUAAAAUGAGUUACAAUAAAAUUUAUUUAUACGGAAUAAUUUAAAAAAUUAAAUUAUAAAGGUGGAUUUAAUUGUAAUAUAAGUUCAAUAAGCUUGUAGGAUACUAGCUCUAAAUUAUGUACACAUCGCCGGUCACUCUCAU
rnacentral:rRNA from 1 species